rnacentral:rRNA from 1 species
CCUACGGGAGGCAGCAGUGGGGAAUAUUGCACAAUGGGCGAAAGCCUGAUGCAGCAACGCCGCGUGAAGGAAGAAGGGUUUCGGCUCGUAAACUUCUAUCAACAGGGACGAAAGAAAUCACGGUACCUGGAGAAAAAGCAUCGGCUAACUCCGUGCCAGCAGCCGCGGUAAUACGUAGGAGGCGACCGUUAUCCGGAUUUAUUGGGUUAAAAGGGUGCGCAGGCUGCGUGUCAAGUCAGCGGUAAAAUGUCGGGGCUCAACCCCGGCCGGCCGUGGAAACUGGCGUGCUCGAGUUAGAGAGAGGUAUGCGGAAUUCGUGGUGUAGCGGUGAAAUGCGUAGAUAUCACGAAGAACCCCGAUUGCGAAGGCAGCAUACCGGCUCCACACUGACGCUGAGGCACGAAAGCGUGGGUAUCGAACAGGAUUAGAUACCCUUGUAGUC